UACGUAGGGUGCAAGCGUUGUCCGGAAUUAUUGGGCGUAAAGAGCGUGUAGGCGGCCCGGUAAGUCCGCUGUGAAAGUCGGGGGCUCAACCCUCGAAUGCCGGUGGAUACUGGCGGGCUAGAGUGCGGAAGAGGCGAGUGGAAUUCCGGGUGUAGCGGUGAAAUGCGCAGAUAUCAGGAGGAACACCAAUUGCGAAGGCGGCUCGCUGGGACGUUACUGACGCUGAGACGCGAAAGCGUGGGGAGCAAACAGG
rnacentral:rRNA from 1 species